rnacentral:tRNA from 1 species
GGGCUUGUAGCAGAAUGGCAUAUGCGCUUGGCUAAGGACCAAGGUCUUUUGUGGGUUCAAAUCCCACCUAGCCCA